GCCUUCGAGGAUCAAUGGUGAUCAUCCCCUCAAUUGUAAAAUCCGCGGAAGUUUCAACGUUCAGGGGAAGGUGGGGUUCAAAUCCUCCCGAGGGCA